GGUUCGUGGUUUUCUGAAUUGAGCGUGGUGGAGAUCAAGAAGGCGUCCGCGGCUCCGAGAGAGUGUGUGUCUACUGUGGUCUGCUACCUUAAGUGGUUCGUGGUUUUCUGAAUUGAGCGUGGUGGAGAUCAAGAAGGCGUCCGCGGCUCCGAGAGAGUGUGUGUCUACUGUGGUCUGCUACCUUAAGUGGUUCGUGGUUUUCUGAAUUGAGCGUGGUGGAGAUCAAGAAGGCGUCCGCGGCUCCGAGAGAGUGUGUGUCUACUGUGGUCUGCUACCUUAAGUGGUUCGUGGUUUUCUGAAUUGAGCGUGGUGGAGAUCAAGAAGGCGUCCGCGGCUCCGAGAGAGUGUGUGUCUACUGUGGUCUGCUACCUUAAGUGGUUCGUGGUUUUCUGAAUUGAGCGUGGUGGAGAUCAAGAAGGCGUCCGCGGCUUCGAGAGAGUGUGUGUCUACUGUGGUCUGCUACCUUAAGUGGUUCGUGGUUUUCUGAAUUGAGCGUGGUGGAGAUCAAGAAGGCGUCCGCGGCUCCGAGAGAGUGUGUGUCUACUGUGGUCUGCUACCUUAAGUGGUUCGUGGUUUUCUGAAUUGAGCGUGGUGGAGAUCAAGAAGGCGUCCGCGGCUCCGAGAGAGUGUGUGUCUACUGUGGUCUGCUACCUUAAGUGGUUCGUGGUUUUCUGAAUUGAGCGUGGUGGAGAUCAAGAAGGCGUCCGCGGCUCCGAGAGAGUGUGUGUCUACUGUGGUCUGCUACCUAAAGG